GGACGUGCAGGCUCAGUGGCCAUGGCUCACGGGCCCAGCCGCUCUGCGGCAUGUGGGAUCUUCCCGGACCGGGGCACGAACCCAUGUCCCCUGCAUCGGCAGGCGGACUCUCAACCACUGUACCACCUGGGAAGCCCUAUACUUAGAGUUUUGCAUCAUGGAUUUAUCCUCAGCCUUUUUUGGAAAAAUUUCAAACUGAUAGGUUCUGGGAAGUUCUGGAUUAUUUAACAACCAUGGACUCCAAAUACAGCAGCAACAGCAAAGGAAUCUCUCACUACAUGAAUACAUGAGUAUGGAAUUGUUGCAAGAAGCUGGCGUCUCCAUUCCCAAAGGACACGUGGCUAAGUCACCAGAUGAGGCUUAUGCAAUUGCCAAAAAAUUAGGUUCAAAAGAUGUUGUGAUAAAGGCACAAGUUUUAGCUGGUGGUAGAGGAAAAGGAACAUUUGAAAGUGGCCUCAAAGGGGGAGUGAAGAUAGUUUUCUCUCCAGAAGAAGCAAAAGCUGUUUCCUCACAGAUGAUUGGGAGAAAGUUGUUUACCAAGCAAACAGGAGAAAAGGGCAGAAUAUGCAAUCAAGUAUUGGUUUGUGAGCGAAGAUAUCCCAGGAGAGAAUACUACUUUGCUAUUACAAUGGAAAGGUCAUUUCAAGGUCCUGUAUUGAUAGGAAGUUCUCAAGGUGGUGUCAACAUUGAAGAUGUUGCUGCUGAGACUCCUGAGGCCAUAGUUAAAGAACCUAUUGAUAUUGUAGAAGGCAUCAAAAAGGAACAAGCUGUUCGGCUUGCACAGAAGAUGGGAUUUCCAGCCAAUAUUGUGGAUUCUGCAGCAGAAAACAUGAUCAAGCUUUACAACCUUUUUCUGAAAUAUGAUGCAACCAUGGUAGAAAUAAAUCCAAUGGUAGAGGAUUCAGACGGAGCUGUGCUAUGUAUGGAUGCAAAGAUCAAUUUUGAUUCUAAUUCAGCUUAUCGCCAGAAGAAAAUCUUUGACCUACAGGACUGGACCCAGGAAGAUGAAAGGGACAAAGAUGCAGCUAAGGCAGAUCUCAACUACAUUGGCCUAAAUGGAAAUAUAGGCUGUCUAGUAAAUGGUGCUGGUUUGGCAAUGGCCACAAUGGAUAUAAUAAAGCUUCAUGGAGGGACUCCAGCCAACUUUCUUGAUGUUGGUGGUGGUGCCACAGUCCAUCAAGUAACAGAAGCAUUUAAACUUAUCACUUCAGAUAAAAAGGUACUGUCUAUUCUGGUCAACAUCUUCGGAGGAAUCAUGCGGUGUGAUGUUAUUGCACAGGGUAUAGUCAUGGCAGUAAAGGAUUUGGAAAUUAAAAUACCUAUUGUGGUACGGUUACAAGGUACACGAGUUGAUGAUGCUAAGGCACUGAUAGCGGACAGUGGACUUAAAAUUCUUGCUUGUGAUGACUUGGAUGAAGCUGCUAAAAUGAUAAAGGCAGAAGAUCUAAAUAGACAUUUCUCCAAAGAAGACAUACAGAUGGCCAACAGGCACAUGAAAAAAUGCUCAACAUCACUAAUUAUUAGAGAAAUGCAAAUAAAAACUACAGUGAGUUAUCACCUCACACUGGACAGAAUGGCCAGUCUGUAUUUUAGUCUACAAAUAACAAAUGCUGGAGAGGGUGUGGAGAGAAGGGAACCCUCCUACACUGUUGGUGGGAAUGUAAAUUGGUGCAGCCACUAUGGAGAACAGUAUGGAGGUUCCUCAAAAAACUAAAAACAGAACUACCGUAUGAUCCAGCAAUCCCACUCCUGGGCACAUAUCCGGAGAAAACCAUAAUUGGAAAAGAUACAUGCACCUCUAUGGUCAUAGCAGCAUUAUUUACAAUAGCCAAGACAUGGAAGCAGCCUAAAUGUCCAUCAACAGAUGAGUGGAUAAAGAAGAUGUAGUAUAUAUAUGCAAUUGAAUACUACUCAGCCAUAAAAAAGAAUGAAAUAAUGCCAUUUGCAACAACAUGGAUGGACCUAGAGAUCAUCAUUCUAAGUGAAGUUGUAAAGCUCUCUGAGAUAGUGACCUUAGCCAAGCAAGCCCAGGUGGAUGUGAAAUUUCAGUUGCCAAUCUGAUUUGAGAACCCAGUGGUUGGCUGAAGAUGUUAAAUGUGUUAUAAUUGUUAAAAAUACUGAGUUCUGUAUUAUUAUUGUUCCUUUUCUCUUUAGUGUGUGAAGAUUGUAAUUACCGUCUAGGCACAAAAACUUUUAAAAGCAUUUGGUCUGCAUUUAAUUCUGUACAGAAUGGGCUGUUUGUAUAAAGAAUGUGUAAUGCAGUUAUCUAGUUUGUUUUGUUGCAGCUUUCUUUCUCAGUUUUGCAGAAUGUCACUUGCAAUAUGCCAGUUUAUUGUUGGGUACAGCAUUCUUCAUUGAUAAGAGUCUUAUGAAUGAAAUAAAUAUGAAGACAAAGCUUUAUUCUUUAGUGUCAGAAAUGUAUUAUAUCUAAUAACUUGUUUCAUUAGUAGAGCAGUGUAUUAAAACAAUGUUUAUAUAAGAAGUGUCUAUCUUCAACACCAAAUACCUAACUAAAUAUAUCAGUCACUAUUUAUAAACAGACCUUUCAAACACUCCCCAGAAUAUUCUUUUAAGUAUUUCAGGAAAGUAACUUGUGAAUUAUUUGAGCAUUGUUUUAAUCAUUACAGAACAUUGAUAUCUGCAAGUCCUCAUGAUCUUGUGGUAUUGAGAAGAACCUGUAGGUUUGUAUCAUGUAAGGAUAUAUUUACUAAGGACCUUGGCAGACAAAAUUAACAAUGUCAAUUUAAAUUAAUAAAAAAUCUCCCAAUGUGA